AACGAACGCUGGCGGCAUGCCUAACACAUGCCAGUCGAACGAGACCUUCGGGUCUAGUGGCGCACGGGUGCGUAACGCGUGGGAACCUGCCCUUAGGUUCGGAAUAACUCCCCGAAAGGGGUGCUAAUACCGGAUAAUGUCUUCGGACCAAAGAUUUAUCGCCUUUGGAUGGGCCCGCGUUGGAUUAGCUAGUUGGUAGGGUAAAAGCCUACCAAGGCGACGAUCCAUAGCUGGUCUGAGAGGAUGAUCAGCCACACUGGGACUGAGACACGGCCCAGACUCCUACGGGAGGCAGCAGUGGGGAAUAUUGGACAAUGGGCGAAAGCCUGAUCCAGCAAUGCCGGGUGAGUGAUGAAGGCCUUAGGGUUGUAAAGCUCUUUUACCCGGGAUGAUAAGGACAGUACCGGGAGAAUAAGCUCCGGCUAACUCCGU
rnacentral:rRNA from 1 species